UACGUAGGGUGCGAGCGUUGUCCGGAAUUAUUGGGCGUAAAGCGCGUGUAGGCGGCUUUGCAAGUCGGGUGUGAAAGCCCUCAGCUCAACUGAGGAAGUGCGCCCGAAACUGCAGAGCUUGAGUGCCGGAGAGGGUGGCGGAAUUCCCCAAGUAGAGGUGAAAUUCGUAGAUAUGGGGAGGAACACCGGUGGCGAAGGCGGCCACCUGGACGGCAACUGACGCUGAGACGCGAAAGCGUGGGGAGCAAACAGG
rnacentral:rRNA from 1 species